rnacentral:rRNA from 1 species
CCUCGGGACGCAGCAGUGAGGAAUAUUGGUCAAUGGGAGAGAUCCUGAACCAGCCAAGCCGCGUGAGGGAAGACGGCCCUAUGGGUUGUAAACCUCUUUUGUCGGAGAACAAAACCCGGGACGUGUCCCGGACUGCGUGUAUCCGAAGAAAAAGCAUCGGCUAACUCCGUGCCAGCAGCCGCGGUAAUACGGAGGAUGCGAGCGUUAUCCGGAUUUAUUGGGUUUAAAGGAUGCGUAGGCGGAAUAUCAAGUCAGCGGUAAAAAUUCGGGGCUCAACCCCGUCGUGCCGUUGAAACUGAUGUUCU